UACAGAGGGUGCGAGCGUUGUUCGGAAUUAUUGGGCGUAAAGGGUGCGUAGGCGGCCUGAAAGGUCAGCUGUGAAAACUCGAGGCUCAACCUCGAGACGUCGGUUGAAACCAUCUGGCUAGAGUCCGGAAGAGGAGUGUGGAAUUCCCGGUGUAGCGGUGGAAUGCGCAGAUAUCAGGAGGAACACCAAUGGCGAAGGCAGCUCGCUGGGACGGUACUGACGCUGAGACGCGAAAGCGUGGGGAGCAAACAGG
rnacentral:rRNA from 1 species